UACGAAGGGGGCUAGCGUUGUUCGGAAUUACUGGGCGUAAAGGGCGCGUAGGCGGUCCCUCAAGUCAGGCGUGAAAGUCCUGGGCUCAACCUGGGAACUGCGCUUGAUACGGCAGAGCUAGAGGAUGGAAGAGGCUCGCGGAAUUCCCAGUGUAGAGGUGAAAUUCGUAGAUAUUCGCAAGAACACCAGUGGCGAAGGCGGCUCACUGGCCCGAUACUGACGCUGGUGCACGAAAGCGUGGGGAGCAAACAGG
rnacentral:rRNA from 1 species